rnacentral:rRNA from 1 species
UCGAACGAGAGAGAGGAAGCUUGCUUCCUCAAUCGAGUGGCGAACGGGUGAGCAUUUAAAGAGGAACCUGCCUCAAAGAGGGGGACAACAGUUGGAAACGACUGCUAAUACCGCAUAAGCCCACAGCUCGGCAUCGAGCAGAGGGAAAAGGAGCAAUCCGCUUUGAGAUGGCCUCGCGUCCGAUUAGCUAGUUGGUGAGGUAACGGCCCACCAAGGCGACGAUCGGUAGCCGGACUGAGAGGUUGAACGGCCACAUUGGGACUGAGACACGGCCCAGACUCCUACGGGAGGCAGCAGUGGGGAAUAUUGCACAAUGGGGGAAACCCUGAUGCAGCGACGCCGCGUGGAGGAAGAAGGUCUUCGGAUUGUAAACUCCUGUUGUUGAGGAAGAUAAUGACGGUACUCAACAAGGAAGUGACGGCUAACUACGUGCCAGCAGCCGCGGUAAAACGUAGGUCACAAGCGUUGUCCGGAAUUACUGGGUGUAAAGGGAGCGCAGGCGGGAGAACAAGUUGGAAGUGAAAUCCAUGGGCUCAACCCAUGAACUGCUUUCAAAACUGUUUUUCUUGAGUAGUGCAGAGGUAGGCGGAAUUCCCGGUGUAGCGGUGGAAUGCGUAGAUAUCGGGAGGAACACCAGUGGCGAAGGCGGCCUACUGGGCACCAACUGACGCUGAGGCUCGAAAGUGUGGGUAGCAAACAGGAUUAGAUACCCUGGUAGUCCACACCGUAAACGAUGAUUACUAGGUGUUGGAGG